rnacentral:rRNA from 1 species
CCUACGGGGGGCAGCAGUGAGGAAUAUUGGUCAAUGGGCGCAAGCCUGAACCAGCCAAGUAGCGUGAAGGAUGACUGCCCUACGGGUUGUAAACUUCUUUUAUAAGGGAAUAAAGUGAGUCACGUGUGCCGUUUUGUAUGUACUUUAUGAAUAAGGAUCGGCUAACUCCGUGCCAGCAGCCGCGGUAAUACGGAGGAUCCGGGCGUUAUCCGGAUUUAUUGGGUUUAAAGGGAGCGUAGAUGGGUUGUUAAGUCAGUUGUGAAAGUUUGCGGCUCAAACGGAGAAUUGCAAUUGAAACUGGCAGUCUUGAGUACAGUGGAGGUAGGCGGAAUUCGUGGUGUAGCGGUGAAAUGCUUAGAUAUCACGAAGAACUCCGAUUGCGAAGGCAGCUUACUAAACUGUCACUGACACUGAUGCUCGAAAGUGUGGGUAUCAAACAGGAUUAGAUACCCGAGUAGUC